GUCUAUGGCCAUGCCCCCCUGAACAUGCCCGAUCCCGUCUGAUCUCGGAAACUAAGCAGGGUUGGUCCUGGUUAGUACUUGGAUGGGAGACCACCUAGGAAAAUCAAGUGCCGUAGGCG
rnacentral:rRNA from 1 species